rnacentral:rRNA from 1 species
UGCCAGCAGCCGCGGUAAUACGAAGGGGGCUAGCGUUGUUCGGAAUCACUGGGCGUAAAGCGCACGUAGGCGGAUUUGUAAGUGAGGGGUGAAAUCCCAGGGCUCAACCCUGGAACUGCCUUUCAUACUGGCAAUCUAGAGAUCGAGAGAGGUGAGUGGAAUUCCGAGUGUAGAGGUGAAAUUCGUAGAUAUUCGGAGGAACACCAGUGGCGAAGGCGGCUAACUGGACCGGAACUGACGCUGAGGCACGAAAGCGUGGGGAGCAAACAGGAUUAGAUA